UACGUAGGGUGCAAGCGUUAAUCGGAAUUACUGGGCGUAAAGCGUGCGCAGGCGGUUUUGUAAGUCUGUCGUGAAAUCCCCGGGCUCAACCUGGGAAUUGCGAUGGAGACUGCAAGGCUAGAAUCUGGCAGAGGGGGGUAGAAUUCCACGUGUAGCAGUGAAAUGCGUAGAGAUGUGGAGGAACACCGAUGGCGAAGGCAGCUCCCUGGGUCAAGAUUGACGCUCAUGCACGAAAGCGUGGGGAGCAAACAGG
rnacentral:rRNA from 1 species